rnacentral:rRNA from 1 species
CCUACGGGGGGCAGCAGUGAGGAAUAUUGGUCAAUGGACGAGAGUCUGAACCAGCCAAGUAGCGUGAAGGAUGACUGCCCUAUGGGUUGUAAACUUCUUUUAUAUGGGAAUAAAAUGUUCCACGUGUGGGAUUUUGUAUGUACCCUAUGAAUAAGGAUCGGCUAACUCUGUGCCAGCAGCCGCGGUAAUACGGAGGAUCCGAGCGUUAUCCGGGUUUAUUGGGUUUAAAGGGAGCGUAGGUGGAUUGUUAAGUCAGUUGUGAAAGUUUGCGGCUCAACCGUAAAAUUGCAGUUGAAACUGGCAGUCUAGAGUACAGUAGAGGUGGGCGGAAGUCGUGGUGUAGCGGUGAAAUGCUUAGAUAUCACGAAGAACUCCGAUUGCGAAGGCAGCUCACUGGACUGCAACUGACACUGAGGCUCGAAAGUGUGGGUAUCAAACAGGAUUAGAUACCCGGGUAGUC